UGUAUCACCUAAAAUUAAUCGAGAUGUGUAAAAAUUGAGAUAUCGUCAUGAAACUUUGUACACAUGUUCCCUAGGCGAAUCAGAAGGACAAGUAAUUAAUAUAUCGGGAUAAAAUUUUGCACGAAUAGUACCUUUAAUAUAUGCCAUCUCAGAUCUAUAAAUUGUCAAAACUGGACCAUAACUAUUCAAACCCCCAGAUUUCAGAAAUGUGGACCUCAGAGCCUAUGGCUGACUUUUUACCGAAAAUAUUGGUCAAUGUGUGAGAUAUACAAUAUAAAUUAAAUUGAAAGAGAAUGUCUGCAUAUCAAAAAUAGGUAGAGGUGGGUCGAUAUUUCCCCUAGAAGUAAAUCCCUAAGGAUUUUCGAACUUCCAGCUGACUUUAUACCCCAUAUAUCGGCCAAUAUGAGAGUUAUCUUAAUUAAAUUGAGUGAGCGUGGUCUUCUUCUAACAUUGAUCUUUGUGCCUAAAAUAGAUAUCGGAAGAAAACUUGCCCUAAGCCACAUAUAUAACUUAUAUCAGGAUUUUCAAACAUCCGGACUUUAUUCCUUAUAUAUUGUUGAGUAAUGCCAAAUAUAGAUAAAAUCGGAUCGAUACUACACCUAUCUCGUACAUACUUAAUAAAAGAUAUAUAUCGGACAAUAUGUCAAAUAUGUCUCAUUUCAGGAUAAUUUUACUAUAAUUAUCGCUGACAGGAGUGAAAAUAUAAUUAUAAAACUAAUUAUGUACCCAAUUUGAUUGUAUUGUAAUUCAUUCACGAUUUCGCAACAUAAACUGGUAUAUACUGACUAAAUGUAAUAAUCAUUCUAAAGUUUCGUUUUUUACACGUCUUCAGAAAAGGAAAAUUAUUUACCUACGUAAACCGCAAAAAAGUAAAAAACAGACUGCAAACAAUAUUUUUUAAUUAAGUAGCUAAACCAGUGCCGAAAAGUCGCUUAACAUGCACGUACUUAUGGAAGUCACAAAUAUGACCUGAUUUUGAAUAACUACCAAACAUCAAUUAUAUGGGUAUAGUUGUAAAAGUCUUAUCUGCAAAAUCGGAUUACUUCAUUGGAACUAUUUUUCUCAAGCGUAACAGCGUGUGCCAAACACAUGCAUAGAUAAAUACAGGGAAGAGAUAACUGUAAUCGAAGCGAAAUAAAAAAUAAAAGAGCAGAAUUCUUGGUUUAUGGAAAAAAAUUGAAGGAAAGAAAGAAUUUGAUGAGAAUAUUUAUGUUAGCAAAAACUACAGCUUUCCACAAUACCAGCACUAUAUGAUAUAAUAUAUAUAUGAGAUAUCUCUAAUAUAUACAUACAUAAAUAAUAAAAAAAAUGUAUAAAUGUAUAAAUAAACUAACAUACAUAUGUAUAUGUACUUAGGAAGUAU